UGCUGCCCCGCGGGCUGGUGUGUUUGCCGGGGACGCCCGGGCCGGGGCCGGGGCCGGGCUCUGCAGGCAGCAAAAUGGUUUGGAAAAACGGUUUUCUGGAUAAUAGUGCAGGCCCUCAUUUUUUCAUAAUAUAAAUUACGGGCCGCAGGGCUAAGAUGAAAUCGGUCUGGAGGCUCCGCGCUAGUCGCGGCCUCUGUUCCCAGACAAACUGUUGCCGAACCCGCUUUCCGCAGCGCCGUGAUUUCAGGUUCUAGACCGGUCCCUGCUCCCCGCAUCCCCUAAAACUCCUUUGUCCCCGCCACUUGGGGACAACCCUCCCAGCACCCCGUGGGCCACGCGCCCUUUCCUCCUCAUGGGGACGGAAGCGGAGUCUGGAGCGCGCUGACGCAGUCACUCCUCGUGGCUGAUUUUGUCCUUUUAAAUUGAUCAUUUGCUGUGGGGAAACCAGCUGCUAUGUUGUGAAGACACCCCAGAAGCCCUGUGGAGAGGUUCACAUGGGAGGUAAUCAAAGUCUGUUAAUAGCCAGCAAGGAGCAGAAGCCUCCUGCCAACAGCCAUAUGUGUGAGCCAUCUUGCAAAUAGAUCUUCCAGCCUUAGUCAAGUCUUCCAAUGACUAUAGCCCUGCCUGAGACCUUGUUUUCAAUAUUCAGAACCGGAACUGCCCAGUGAAGCCAAUCCCAAAUUUGUGAUCCACAGACAUUGUAAUGAAACUUGUGACAGACUCACCGCUUGGAUUUUCUUCCUCAGCUGGACAUUAGCUCGGAAAAGGCUUUUGGAAACUGAGUUCAGGUAGUAGAUGGCCAGGCUGCAAGAGAAAAGCGUGCCUCCUGUGAUACUGCAAUCUUGGAAAAUGACAAGAGCUGGAUGCCUUUCCCUAGGAAUCAAGGCCUGCUUCCUGGAACAGGUGCCAAGGCUUUGCCUCUCGGUAGGGUGGAGAGAGAUCCUACCAUCCUAAAAUCCCCACUUAACCUGGAGAAGGUCCGGGACAUCCCUGUUCUCCAUUUGAUUGAACGUGGAAAUGACCUGCACAUUUCUAGUUGUCAGAGUGCUCAAUAAAAGUUGGCUAAAGGAAUCAUCUCUCUUCCGGGAAAUCUGAAGAGGUGGGGGAGUGGCAGCGUUUCUUGUCUGCACAAGAAGCUACUUAUGUUUCCUGGGCACCUGCCCUGUGUCAGGCUCUGUGUCAUGUGCAUCCCACCCCACAUCUCACUGGUUUUGAUGAAACUCCAUGAAGUAGAGAGGAUGACUCCUAUCUUUACAGAUCAGUAUCCUGGAAUUCAGAGAGCUUAAGAAAUCUGCCCAAGGUCACCCCAUCUAUUAGUACUCCUCAGAGCCCACAUUUUAAGCUAAAGCCCUUUUCACAAUCUUCAAGUGCUGACAGAGACAGAGAUGCUAAGUACCUGCUCCAGGUCUGCCUAGGAACACAACUGCAGGUGCCCUGAUGGGAAUAUCUGUCCUGGGCUGGUGACUUUCAGAGUCCAGCCCACACUGGCUGACUUCAUGACUGGGCAUCCUUUGAGGCUGUAGC